AUUAUUGAAUGAAAUUGAGUGGGGUUGUAGCUGGCCUUUCAACGGGCAUGUGCACACCUCAUUCGACCACCUUCACACCUCUGUGCACUUCUCAUGAGUUCGGUCGCGCCUGAAAUAUUGGCAUGGCCUGCUUGUGUGUUUUUAUACAAACGAAUAAAGUUAUAGAAUGUCACUAUCAUGCUUGAAAGCAUAUAAUACAACUUUCAACAACGGAUCUCUUGGCUCUCGCAUCGAUGAAGAACGCAGCGAAAUGCGAUAAGUAAUGUGAAUUGCAGAAUUCAGUGAAUCAUCGAAUCUUUGAACGCACCUUGCGCUCCUUGGUAUUCCGAGGAGCAUGCUUGUUUGAGUGUCAUGGUAUUCUCAACCCUCCUGUAUUUUUUAUUAAAUGCAGUUGGGCUUGGAUGUGGAGGCUUUGCAGGCAGCUGGAUAUUUUUUUAUUCAGACGUCAGCUCCUCUGAAAUGCAUUAGCUUGAAUAAAACCAAGCAGGAUUCAACGUGAUAAUUGUCUACGUUGCUUCCUCUCGGUGAAUUUAAUAUUCUAGCUUCUAAUCGUCCUUCGGGACACUAUCUGAACAUCUGACCUCAAAUCAAGUAGGACUACCCGCUGAACUUAAGCAUA
rnacentral:rRNA from 1 species